CCCUCCCAGGGUGCCUCACGCCCCUCCCAGGAUGCCUCACGCCCCUCCCAUGGCGCCUCACGUUCUUCUCAGGACGCUUCACUUUCUGCUUCUCUCUCCACCUGGUCAGAAGGGUAGUGUGUGUCAGAGUGUGAACCUGUGUGCUGGGCUCCUAAACUCCUGAUAGCCCUUGAGAGACAGAUGAAGUGAUUCACUCUCUAAUAAUCUUUCCCAGCUAUAGGGUGCAGCGGAACCUGGAGAGGUUUCUGAAACCUCAGAUUUGGUUCAUGGGUGGCAGACAGAGCUGAGAUGGAGGUUGAAGUUUUACCUUGAAGUGCGGGAUCUUUUCUCAGGGUGCUCUUUGGUUUUCCCCCUCGGGCCUGCUCAGAAUCCUGGCUGUGGAAAAUGUGAACUUCCUGGGGAUGGAAGACACACAGUCUCCUUCUUCCCGUUCUCUCCUUUUCCUCCUGACUCAUUGGAAGAAAGAGAACAGAUUACCUACAAAAGGAAACCCCGAUCAGAUUGGCACCAGACUUCUCCCUGGCAACAAGGCCCAUUCUUCAUCCCCUGAAACAACCAGUGACCCUCUGCAACGCUGUUCCUCUGCCCAAGAGAAAAGGCAACCUUUGGGACAUUGCUUUUGGAACCAUGCAGUGAGGGAGCCAGAGAGCCACACGGAGAGGUCACGCAUAGGUGACCUGACCAACGGUUCCAGCAGAGGUCCCAGCUGUAAGCUGCCACCCACCACCAGACAGCUUCUCAAACUACACCCUGGUCACCUCAGUCUUCCUUCUGUGCUCAAAGACUGCAAGCUCAUCCCCACUCUGAGCCUUGGCAUUUCAAUCCUCUCCUCUGGAAAUGGCUUCAAAGAACACCCUACCUAAGGUGCACAUUGGCCAUGGAACCACAGAAGGUGCCUCAGCCUCCCAGAGAGAGCCGCAUUCAUUGGGUUCAAGGUCAGCGUCACAUUUUCUGUGUACUUUUUUUCUUGGCUAUGACUGUUUCGUAUUUGGAAGUAAGGGUUUUCAAUCCCCACACUUCCCUGUAUUCCAAAGAAAGAUGACACCAGCAAUGAAGAUUUGGAGACUAUAUACCUACAGUCCUCUCUCCCUUUAGCUCUGCUUCCCUCUCCUCUCUUUCUCCCCCUCUCCCACUUUCCCUCUCUCCUCCACCCACCCCCACACACAUGAUUGUUCCAUAUAGGGAUGAUAUAGGGAUGAAAAUUGCACUGCUGAGAGCUAACGCUCUCUUUCCAGCUUAACUAAUAUGGAAUAGAUAAAUCAGGAGAAAGGAAAGUAGGGAGAAGUUGGGGGCCCACCAUUUUCUCCCAGUCUCCCUUUUCAAGACUUGUUACUUGGUUUGAAGCAAACCCCAGAUGACCCUCUCAGCCUACAGUCAUGCAUAGGACAGGUGCCUUCUCCAGCCCUGUGUCCAUCUUGGUACUCCUGGCUACCAGGUUCUUUGUGCCCGCGCUUCACCUAUACAGUCAAGGGUGGGUGGAGCGAUGACUUGGCCUGAGCCGAUGAGAGAAUCAUAUUCUCUGGAUCUCACUGAUUGGUUCAGAGAUGGAGAUUUGACCAAGUCCUAGCCAAUGAGCUUCAAGGAAAGAUUUGUAAUUCUGAGUGAGUAAAGCCCCAGCAAGAAAGGGAAGGGAAGAAAAGGGAAGAAAAGGGAAGGGAAGGGAAGGGAAGGGAAGGGAAGGGAAGGGGUGUAUGUUUUUGGCAUAGAGAAGGGUGGCAUCGGCAGGCCUGUCACUGUUACAUAGAAAGGGAGAUUUGGAAGGUGCUGGAGGGUCACCUUGCGAAGGUAAUAUUAGAAGAAAGACACAGAGAGAAACCGAAACUCUGGUGAUGUCCGUUAAGCUGCUGGGUCGAGCUUCUCUGGCUCAAUCUGUUGAGUUUGGGUUAAAAGUCAACACAUUCCUUUUGUUGUCUAAGUCAGUCUGAGGUGGUCUUUUUGUCACAUACAGACAUAAGAGCUUGACCAGCACAAUAAGUAAGUGUGAUCAGGGCACAGAAGACCUUGAUAACCAGCCUCUGAGCCUUUGCACAGGCUGUUUACUACUGAGAACACCACUGUUUUCUAGCAGAGCUCUAGUCCUCUUCCAAUACUCCAUAAAUGCAGUCUCCCAGAUGUGCUCCAUGACUCUGGGACCCAGACUGCCCCUGGGGCAUGCCCUGCACUGCAGGAUAACUCUGCUGCACUAGUUGGUUCACAUCCAUCUUCUGCACCGGAAGACAGACCUGUCCUUGCCUCCAGUUCCUGUGGUCCCAGACACAUAGUAGGUGGAUGGUUCUC